rnacentral:tRNA from 1 species
GCCUGGGUGGCUCAGUCGGUUAAGCAUCUGACUUCAGUUCAGGUCAUGAUCUCACAGUUCAUGAGUUCGACCCCCCAGGCU